rnacentral:rRNA from 1 species
UAAUUGAAGAGUUUGAUCAUGGCUCAGAUUGAACGCUGGCGGCAGGCUUAACACAUGCAAGUCGAACGAUGCCCACACCAAUCAACACACCCGCAUGGUGGAGGACGGGUGAGUAACAUUUCGG